CGCGUCCAAGAUGGCCGACAAGCACCUGAGCUGUAACUUCCGCUGCCCGACUGUUCCUGAAGCUGCUCCGUAAAGACGAAUAGAGAACAGAGUUAGAUGACCGAAGUGAGACUGACUGAAAAUGUUGGAGGAGCAGCUGGAGAAUGACAAGGCUCAAGACAAGCGGAGGAUGGAGGACAAAAUUAACAAGAACUUGAGACAUACUAUAUAACUAGUUAGCACACUAUGCACUUAUUUUUGUAUAACAUACAAGUACGUCAUAUUAUGACGUACUUAACCUUUUUAUAGCAUACUGUAUUCUAAUUUCUAUAUAUUCUAUAUAUAUAUACUCUAAACAACACGCUAUCAUAUUUGAUUACUUUUUAAUGACAUCAUACGAUAUAUACAUUUAAUGACACUCUACAUUGAGAUGUUUCUAAACCAAAUGUGUUAUUACAUAAUGUACUAUGAUGUUUGUAUGGUUUACUACACAAUCAUAUAUUUGUAUACUUAUUUAUGACACACCAUAACUUGACUUUAAGACUUAUACAGAUACAAUAUAUGAUAUUUUAAAUACUUUUUAUGAAACAUUGUAUGAUUUAUUAUGACAUGUUAUGAUUUUGUUACCAUAGACUAUAACAAUUAGCUACAUUCCUAUGACAUAAUAUACUAUAAUAUUCUUUUGAAUUUUUAUGACAUAAUAUCAGAUUUUUAACAGCAGUAUAUACAGCAGUAAAUAUACUACGAUGUUAUGGCAUAAUAUAAUAUUUUUUACUAUGACUUUUUUACGACAUACUAUGCUGUC
ensembl:lncRNA